UGGGGAAUAUUGGACAAUGGGCGAAAGCCUGAUCCAGCCAUGCCGCGUGUGUGAAGAAGGUCUUCGGAUUGUAAAGCACUUUAAGUUGGGAGGAAGGGCAUUAACCUAAUACGUUAGUGUUUUGACGUUACCGACAGAAUAAGCACCGGCUAACUCUGUGCCAGCAGCCGCGGUAAUACAGAGGGUGCAAGCGUUAAUCGGAAUUACUGGGCGUAAAGCGCGCGUAGGUGGUUUGUUAAGUUGGAUGUGGAAUCCCCGGGCUCAACCUGGGAACUGCAUUCAAAACUGACUGACUAGAGUAUGGUAGAGGGUGGUGGAAUUUCCUGUGUAGCGGUGAAAUGCGUAGAUAUAGGAAGGAACACCAGUGGCGAAGGCGACCACCUGGACUAAUACUGACACUGAGGUGCGAAAGCGUGGGGAGCAAACA
rnacentral:rRNA from 1 species